UACGAAGGGGGCUAGCGUUGCUCGGAAUUACUGGGCGUAAAGGGCGCGUAGGCGGAUAUUUAAGUUGGGGGGUGAAAUCCCGGGGCUCAACCUCGGAAUUGCCUUCAAAACUGGAUAUCUUGAGUUCGGGAGAGGUGAGUGGAACUCCGAGUGUAGAGGUGAAAUUCGUAGAUAUUCGGAAGAACACCAGUGGCGAAGGCGACUCACUGGCCCGAUACUGACGCUGAGGCGCGAAAGCGUGGGGAGCAAACAGGAUUGAGAAACCCGGUAGGUACG
rnacentral:rRNA from 1 species